rnacentral:rRNA from 1 species
AUACGUAGGUGGCGAGCGUUGUCCGGAAUUACUGGGUGUAAAGGGCGUGUAGGCGGGGAUGUAAGUCAGAUGUGAAAUUCCGUGGCUCAACCACGGGCGUGCAUCUGAAACUAUGUUUCUUGAGUGCUGGAGAGGAAAGCGGAAUUCCUAGUGUAGCGGUGAAAUGCGUAGAUAUUAGGAGGAACACCAGUGGCGAAGGCGGCUUUCUGGACAGUAACUGACGCUGAGGCGCGAAAGCGUGGGGAGCGAACAGGAUUAGAUACCCUGGUAGUCCACGCCGUAAACGAUGGAUACUAGGUGUAGGAGGUAUCGACCCCUUCUGUGCCGGAGUUAACACAAUAAGUAUCCCACCUGGGGAGUACGGCCGCAAGGCUGAA